AAUCUUACCGGGACCGACAGCAAUAUGAAGGCCAGGCUGAAGACUUUGCCGGAUUAGCUGAGAGGUGGUGCAUUGGCCGUCGUCAGUUCGUACUGUGAAGCAUCCUGUUAAGUCAGGCAACGAGCGAGACCCACGCCCACAGUUGCCAGCGUACUCUCUGGAGUGACGGGUACACUGUGGGGACCGCCGCUGCUAAAGCGGAGGAAGGAAUGGGCAACGGUAGGUCAGUAUGCCCCGAAUAUCCCGGGCUACACGCGAGCUACAAUGGUUGGUACAAUGGGUAUCUACCCCGAAAGGGGACGGGAAUCUCCUAAAACCAAUCUUAGUUCGGAUUGAGGGCUGCAACUCGCCCUCAUGAAGCUGGAAUCCGUAGUAAUCGCGUUUCAACAGAACGCGGUGAAUACGUCCCUGGCUCCUU
rnacentral:rRNA from 1 species